rnacentral:rRNA from 1 species
UACGGGGGGGGCAAGCGUUGUUCGGAAUUACUGGGCGUAAAGGGUUUGUAGGUGGCUUGUUAAGUCAGACGUGAAAUCCCUCGGCUCAACCGGGGAACUGCGUCUGAUACUGGGUGGCUUGAAUCCGGGAGAGGGAUGCGGAAUUCCAGGUGUAGCGGUGAAAUGCGUAGAUAUCUGGAGGAACACCGGUGGCGAAGGCGGCAUCCUGGACCGGCAUUGACGCUGAGGCGCGAAAGCCAGGGGAGCAAACGGGG